rnacentral:rRNA from 1 species
AUGGUCCUCACCAGGCUGACCUCUCUAGGCUCCCUCACGAGGCUGGCCUCUCUAGAUGCCCUCGCGAGGCUGGCCUUGCCAGCAAUCCUAACGAGGCUGGUUGCGCCACUCCUGGUGGGGGCCGCGGUCGUCCCAACAUCCUCCACUUCUGCUUCCUCCGCAGCCGUAGCCUCGGUCAUUGCGCUUGGGGCGUCGACCGAGGCGCCCAUCGCGGAUGGCCCUAAGCUCAUGGCAAUCGUUGGUGUUAUGGUUGUGUACAUUGUGGAAGACGCAGAAUGGACGGCUACCCUUGGACGACUCUGGGUGGUUGCAGCCGCGCUUCAUCUCUGGUUCGGCCAUGAGGACGACAGCUCCCUUGCGAUGCACGUCCUUGACUUUGGCCUUCUUGUCUUCUGGGUCAAUAGCUGGGAACUUGAGGAGGGAGUGGAGCCCCUCCUCGGCCCUCGCGCACUUGGUAGCCAUGUUGAACAUCUCCAGGGCCGUGCACAAGUCCUCGUGGAUGGCGAGCUCCUCCUUCAUCUUGACAUCGCGGACGCCAUAGGAGAACGCCAAGAUGAUGGCUUCGUCAGAAACUUUGGGGAUCCUGAGGCGAACGCUGUUGAAGUGUUGGAUGUACUUCUGCAGGGUCUCCCCAGGAUGUUGCUUGAUGCGCCGUAG